rnacentral:rRNA from 1 species
GCACCACCUUGAGAAAACCUGAACUUGUUUAGAUCUCGGAAGCUCUGCGGGUGUGGGCCUGGUUAGUUCUGGGAUGGGAGACCUCUGGGAAUACUGAGUGCC